GGAAUUUUCAAAGUAUCCUAUUCUCAUACUAUACCGGGGGAAACAGUGUUUACAGUUCUUAAUAUGAAAAGCUUGCUGAGGAUGUGCCAGGGCAGGAGAGAAUGUGGCUGGAGCAUACUUCACCUGGUUAAAACAGCUGAAUGCCACCCUGGAGAACUGGAUUCUAUCUCUGCCACUGCCACAUAAGAUACGAUGCGAUGCCGGGCAAGUCCAUUAAAACUAGAUUUUUUGCA